rnacentral:rRNA from 1 species
GAUGAACGCUGGCGGCGUGCUUAACACAUGCAAGUCGAACGGUGAAGGCGGAGCUUGCUCUGCUGGAUCAGUGGCGAACGGGUGAGUAACACGUGAGCAAUCUGCCCCUGACUCUGGGAUAAGCGCUGGAAACGGCGUCUAAUACUGGAUACGAGCUGCGAAGGCAUCUUCAGCAGCUGGAAAGAAUUUCGGUCAGGGAUGAGCUCGCGGCCUAUCAGCUUGUUGGUGAGGUAAUGGCUCACCAAGGCGUCGACGGGUAGCCGGCCUGAGAGGGUGACCGGCCACACUGGGACUGAGACACGGCCCAGACUCCUACGGGAGGCAGCAGUGGGGAAUAUUGCACAAUGGGCGAAAGUCUGAUGCAGCAACGCCGCGUGAGGGACGACGGCCUUCGGGUUGUAAACCUCUUUUAGCAGGGAAGAAGCGAAAGUGACGGUACCUGCAGAAAAAGCGCCGGCUAACUACGUG